rnacentral:misc_RNA from 1 species
AAGUCAUAACAAGGUUACUGUAGGUGAACCUGCAGUAGGAUCAUUAUUGAAAAACAGGGCUUUCCCAUUCUUUGGGGCCCGACCCUUCACAUAAUUUCCACACACUUGUGAAUCGUUGGAGUGCGCGGAAGUAAGAUUCUCUGAAUCUUAUGGAAGAGCGCUCUGGCAUCCAUUUAAUUAUUACCAAACACUGAGUUAAUGGAUGUAGUUGUAAACUUGUCUUUGGACAGAAACAAAAAUACAACUUUCGACAACGGAUCUCUUGGUUCUCC